ACUAUUAUGUUGGAUCCACUAUGGACUGGACUCUCACUAUUAUGUUAGAUCCACUGUGGACUGGACUCUCACUAUUAUGUUAGAUCCACUGUGGACUGGACUCUCACUAUUAUGUUGGAUGCACUAUGGACUGGAAUUUCACUGUAGAGGCGGUAGUCCCGGAGGGGAAAAGCAGGCUUCGAUAGAGAAGGGAGCCGAACGCUAAUAAGUCAGUCUUAUUACUUUUUCUCCAGUGUUUAAAUAUUCACGUUGUAUAAAUACAUUUUUGAGUCUUUACUUAGAGAUAAGAUUGUAUCGGUGCGCGAGAAGCAUUUCGCCGCGUUUCGUGCUGACUUAGCUUAGUUCGCUAGUUAGCUUAGUUGUUAGCUGCUAACAAAGACGCAGAAGUUGUCAACACAUCGCUGAGCAGCUAAAUAUCAUAUUUGACCAGACUGUGUGGUCUUAAGGGCUCGUCGUCAUGGGACCGAAGAGAACCCCAGCGGCGGAGGAAAACGAGGACAUUAAAAAGUCACUUUAAUUUGUUUCACAAGACGUAAAUGACAUACGGAUUAAACAGGAUAUCAUUCUUAAACUCGUGGAUGAAGUCACGGAGCUCCGUAUGUGCAUCCAGGAGAGGGAUAAGAAGAUUGGCGAGUUGAAGAGGAAAGUGGAAGAUCUGGAGCAGUAUUCUAGACUGAAUGAUGUGAUUGUGACGGGGCUAAAAGUUAAACCCCGCUCAUAUGCACAUGCUGCGGGGAGCGAGAGUGCAUCUGGGGACCCGGAGGCUGGCUCGGUGGAGGAGCAGGUUGUGGACUUUCUGGCUUCCAGAGACAUUCAUCUGGACGAGAACUCAAUCGAAGCGUGUCAUCCUCUGCCUGCAAAGAGGGACGUCAUGCCUGCUGUCAUACUGAGGCCGCUUGUUUUGGCAGCUGACCGGGGGAUGGGGGGUUGUGUGGGGGUACCCACAUAGCCUCCCCCUAAAGUCCGCCAUCCACCAUGCACACCCUCAUUAUGAUGAGCGCUGGCCUCGGAUUUACCUAAAGAAAGACCGAGGACGUCCCCUGCAGUUACUUGCAAGGAUGUCGAGGUCCAGUGGCCAUGGAUGAAGUGUUGGAUGUCCAGAGUCGGUGGACCGUUCGCCUGUGCAUCGGUUGGGGACAUUUCUGCGCUGAUGACCCGUCUCCGCUUGGGAUGGUCUCCUGCUGGCCCCACUAUGGACUGGACUCUCACUAUUAUGUUAGAUCCACUAUGGACUGAACUCUCACUAUUAUGUUAGAUCCACUAAGGAUUGGACUCUCACUAUUAUGUUAGAUCCACUAAGGACUGGACUCUCACUAUUAUGUUGGAUCCACUAUGGACUGGACUCUCACUAUUAUGUUGGAUCCACUAUGGACUGGACUCUCACUAUUAUGUUAGAUCCACUAUGGACUGAACUCUCACAAUUAUGUUAGAUCGACUAAGGACUGGACUCUCACUAUUUUGUUGGAUCCACAAUGGACUGGACUCUCACUAUUAUGCUAGAUCCACUAUGGACUGGACUCUCACUAUUAUGUUAGAUCCACAAUGGACUGGACUCUCACACUAUUAUGUUAGAUCCACUAUGGACUGGACUCUCGCACUAUUAUGUUAAAUCCACUAUGGACUGGACUCUCACUGUUAUGUUAGAUCCACUAUGGACUGGACUCUCACUAUUAAGUUAGAUCCACUAUGGACUGGACUCUCACACUAUUAUGUUAAAUCCACUAUGGACUGGACUCUCACUAUUAUGUUAGAUCCACUAUGGACUGGACUCUCACUAUUAUGCUAGAUCCACUAUGGACUGGACUCUCACUAUUAUGUUAGAUCCACUAUGGACUGGACUCUCACUAUUAUGUUAGAUCCACUAUGGACUGGACUCUCACUAUUAUGUUAGAUCCACUAUGGACUGGACUCUCACAAUAUUAUGUUCGACCCACUCGACGUCCUUUGCAUCCGGUCUCCCCUCGAGACGUCCCACAUGGGACAGUUCAGUAGAAAAGUAAACGUUGCUUGGAGUGUUGAAUUAACAAUCCUUUUCAGCAGAAAGGCUAUGGACCAAUAUACGGUAUUUCCGAUUCAAGGCACGAAACAGAAAGUCCACUUUCAACCCAUUCACUGCAGAACUGGUCACUGAUCAGCGUGUCUACAUGUAUCUCUCAUGUGUGACUGCCAUUUACUGGUCACCAUGUAGCAAAUAAAAUAGCUUUGUGGUCGAUAAGCAAAACCAGAAUUAUUCCGUACAUGAGUGCCGACCGGGUUAUAAGGCGCUCUGUCGAGUUUUGAGAAAAUGAAAGGAUUUUAAGUGUGCUUUAUAGUCCAAAAAAUACAGCAUUUGAUAUCUAAAUCUGCCUUCCGAAUCUUAAGGAGUAUUUUUUGAUGCGGCAGAUCAAUCGAUAGAUACCGCUGGUACCUUUUUUUGACAAAGAGGCUGAUUUUAACAGAAUACCGGAUUUCCUGAAAAACACGGGCGCCACAGAUCAGCGUGUCUACAUGUAUCUCUUAUGUGUGACUGCCAUCCACUGGUCACCAUGAAUUGAUUAGCUUACAAAUUGAAAAGCUUAUUCGGGUGUUACCAUUUAGUGGUCAAUUUUCGGAAUAUGUACUGUACUGUGCAGUCUCAAUCAAUCAAUCAAUCAAUCAAUCAAUCAAUCAAACCAUGUAGCAAAUAAAAUAGCGUUGAGGUCGGUAAACAAAACCGGAAUGAUUCCGUACAUGAGGCGCACCGUGUUAUAAGGCGCACUGUCGCGUUUUGAGAAAAUGAAAGGAUUUUAAGUGUGCCUUAUUGUCCAAAAAAUACAGCAUAAAUAUUCAAUUUGAUACAUGAAUCUGCCAUUCGAAACUUAAGGAAUAUUUUUUUUGACACGGCAGAUCGAUCGAUAUAUAUACUGUUGGUACCUUUUUUCGACAAAGAGGCUCAUUUUGACAAAACACCGGAUUUCCUAAGUGAGGAGGUCAAAAAAACACGGGCGCCACAGAUCAGCGUGUCUACAUUUAUCUCUUAUGUGUGACUGCCAUCUACUGGUCACCAUGAAUUGAUUAGCAUGGACCCCGACUUAAACAAAUUGAAAAGCUUAUUCAGGUGUUACAAUUUAGUGGUCAAUUUUCGGAAUAUGUACUGUACUGUGCAGUCUCAAUCAAUCAAUCAAUCAAAGUAUGUAGCAAAUAAAAUAGCGUCGAGGUCGGUAAGCAAAACCAGAAUAAUUCCGUACAUGAGGCGCACCGUGUUAAAAGGCGCACUGUCGCGUUUUGAGAAAAUUAAAGGAUUUUAAGUGUGCCUUAUUGUCCGAAAAAUACAGCAUAAAUAUUCAAUUUGAUACAUAAAUCUGCCAUUUGAAACUUAAGGAAUAUUUUUUUGGACACGGCAGAUCGAUCGAUAUAUACCUUUGGUACCUUUUUUUCGGACAAAGAGGCUCAUUUUGACAAAACACCGAAUUUCCUAAGCGAGGAGGUCAAAAAAACACGGGCGCCACAGUUCUACUUGUAUGUACAUGUUUCUCUUAUGUGUGACUGCCAUCUGCUGGUGACCAUGAAUUGAUCAGCAUGGACCCGGACUUAAAAAAAUUCAAAACUUAUUCGGGUGUUACCAUUUAGUGGUCAAUUUUCGGAAUAAGUACUGUACUGUGCAGUCUCAAUCAAUCAAUCAAACCAUGUAGCAAAUAAAAUUUCUGUAGGAAUGUAUUGUGAAGUGAAGUGAAUUAUAUUUAUAUAGCGCUUUUCUCUAGUGACUCAAAGCCCUUUUACAUAGAGAUACUCAAUAUCUAAGUUACAUUAAAACCAGGGAGCAGGUUGGUAAAGUGUCUCGCCCAAGGACACAACGGCAGAGACUAGGAUGGAGGAAGCGGGGAUCGAACCUGGAACCCUCAAGUUGCUGGCCACUAGUUACCGCCCAUUGUUUAUGUCGUCAUAUUGUCCGAUGCGACCACUCUUUAGAUUGAUCAAUCAAUCAUGAUCAAUCAGCUCCGGAGUUCUCCCCUUCAACUAUUGUAGUUGUUUGCGUUGUUUUGUUGUUUAUUUGAAAUUGUACUGUGCUCCCCUGCAGACUCCGCCUCCUUACUUAUUCAACAGUGUGUUUUCCAUCAUACUUGAAAAACCAAGAGCAGUUUGGUUAAUAUUUUAAGACAUCCCGCUUGCACUAGAGGGAGAGAGAGAGAGACAAAGAGCGAGGGGAAGAUGAAGACAUGAGGGGAAAGGAAA